rnacentral:tRNA from 1 species
GUGGACUUGCCGGAGUGGUGAUUGGGCAUAUCUUGAAAUCAUGUGGACUUUGCCCGCGCAGGUUCGAAUCCUGCCGUCGACG